rnacentral:rRNA from 1 species
UACGUAGGGUGCAAGCGUUAAUCGGAAUUACUGGGCGUAAAGCGUGCGCAGGCGGCUUUGCAAGACAGAUGUGAAAUCCCCGGGCUUAACCUGGGAACUGCAUUUGUGACUGCAUGGCUGGAGUGCGGCAGAGGGGGAUGGAAUUCCGCGUAUAGCAGUGAAAUGCGUAGAUAUGCGGAGGAACACCGAUGGCGAAGGCAAUCCCCUGGGCCUGCACUGACGCUCAGGCACGAAAGCGUGGGGAGCAAACAGG